CACCAUUGUCCCAUUAGGUUUCUUGUAUGUUUUCUUUCCAUUAGCAUUAUACAAGAAAAGAUACAACGAAAAUCACCAAUGCAGAACAACGCAACAAGAUACACCACAUUAAUCAUUCUGAGUUAAGGCAAUUGAAAAAAAGAAACAAAGAAAAAACGAUUAAAAUCAUUUUUCCAAAAUUUGAUCACUUCACAAUCUAUCUAUAGAAUCGAGGCCAAUGUCCAUC
rnacentral:lncRNA from 1 species